AGCCCCGGCCCGCAGGCCGCAGACCCUCGAAGAUAAGCCUGCAAAGCAUCUCGUGGACUGCAGAGGCCAUCACCGCUCCCAUCCCGAAGGUUGCGCCGCCGCCACAUCUCACCGCUCUGAAAAAAAAAAAAUGAGUAAACUCAGUUAGAAGGACCAGUCUCACCAGCUGAUGCUGUUUUGGUUCAGGCGCCCAUUUACUUCUGUGAAAUUUCGUUCUUCCUUUGAGACAUUACAAGCUGUGGCUGGCUAUUUUUUACCUGCUUGGUCCCGAACUCAGUUGAAGAUGGACAAAUAGCAACCUUAGUUGUGAAGUUUAUCUCAAUGUUUAUUAACGUAUGUAAAACUUCCAUUGCUUGCAUGUACCUAAGGAGCGUGACUUUCCAAACGCUGCAGUGAAUUCAUAUGAUCUGAUCAUUUUAAUCUAUAUUGCAACCUGUCAGCAUGCACCAGUCAA